CCCUUAGAUGUUCUGGGCCACACGCGCGUUACACUGAUGAAGUCAGCGAGUAUAUCGCCUUCACCGGAAGGUGCGGGUAAUCUUGUGAAACUUCAUCGUGCUGGGGAUAGACCAUUGCAAUUAUUGGUCUUGAACGAGGAAUUCCUAGUAAGCAUGAGUCAUCAACUCGUGCUGAUUACGUCCCUGCCCUUUGUACACACCGCCCGUCGCUACUACCGAUUGAAUGGUUUAGUGAGAUCUCGGGAUUGGAGACGUUGCGCCGCAAGGCACAUCGUCCUCGAGAACUUGAUCAAACUUGAUCAUUUAGAGGAAGUAAAAGUCGUAACA
rnacentral:rRNA from 1 species